CCUACGGGAGGCAGCAGUGGGGAAUAUUGGGCAAUGGGCGCAAGCCUGACCCAGCAACGCCGCGUGAAGGAAGAAGGCUUUCGGGUUGUAAACUUCUUUUAAGAGGGAAGAGCAGAAGACGGUACCUCUUGAAUAAGCCACGGCUAACUACGUGCCAGCAGCCGCGGUAAUACGUAGGUGGCAAGCGUUGUCCGGAUUUACUGGGUGUAAAGGGCGUGUAGGCGGGGAAGCAAGUCAGAUGUGAAAACCACGGGCUCAACCUGUGGCCUGCAUUUGAAACUGUUUGUCUUGAGUGCUGGAGAGGUAAUCGGAAUUCCGGGUGUAGCGGUGAAAUGCGUAGAUAUACGGAGGAACACCAGUGGCGAAGGCGGAUUGCUGGACAGUAACUGACGCUGAGGCGCGAAAGCGUGGGGAGCAAACAGGAUUAGAUACCCUUGUAGUC
rnacentral:rRNA from 1 species